rnacentral:snoRNA from 1 species
CCCCUUUUAAAAGCUCUCAUUGGGCCUUUUCUUGAUGACCCUCCAAGCCAUCAUGAAAGGGCAGAAUAAAAACAUUGCUUCUGGGUGAAGUGACAGUCUCUUGUGUUGUUUUGCUUCAAUUGGUGGCAUGACAGGA